UUUCCGUAGGUGAACCUGCGGAAGGAUCAUUACAGAGUUCAUGCCCUCACGGGUAGAUCUCCCACCCUUGAAUAUUUAUACCUUAGUUGCUUUGGCAGGCCGUGGAAACACCAUGGGCUCCGGCUUAUGCGUGCCUGCCAGAGGAACCAAACUCUGUUUUUAGUGAUGUCUGAGUACUAUAUAAUAGUUAAAACUUUCAACAACGGAUCUCUUGGUUCUG
rnacentral:misc_RNA from 1 species